rnacentral:rRNA from 1 species
UGGGGAAUCUUGGACAAUGGGCGCAAGCCUGAUCCAGCCAUGCCGCGUGGAUGAUGAAGGCCUUAGGGUUGUAAAAUCCUUUCGCCGAGGACGAUAAUGACGGUACUCGGAGAAGAAGCUCCGGCUAACUUCGUGCCAGCAGCCGCGGUAAUACGAAGGGGGCUAGCGUUGUUCGGAUUUACUGGGCGUAAAGGGCGCGUAGGCGGUUUGUCAAGUCAGUUGUGAAAUCUCCGAGCUUAACUCGGAACGGUCAACUGAUACUGUCAAACUAGAGUACAGAAGGGGCAAUCGGAAUUCUUGGUGUAGCGGUGAAAUGCGUAGAUAUCAAGAGGAACACCUGAGGCGAAGGCGGGUUGCUGGGCUGAUACUGACGCUGAAGCGCGAAAGCUAGGGUAGCAAACGGGAUUAGAUACCCUUGUAGUCCCUGAGCGGGCUGGCAAGGCGCAU